UUUUUUUUUUUUAAUUCCACUGAAGAGUUUUCUAGAGUUUUCACCGAGGGGUGAGAAAUCCAGGGUUCUGUCCAGUCUUCUCCAGCUCACCACCCUACUUUAGGAACUCAUAACCUGAUGAUAGACGCAGUUACAGUAACAAAGAAGCUUGCAAAGGAAACAGUGGAAAGGGGCAAGAAAAUACUCAAGUGAAGAGAAAAGUUGUAGAAGCAGGAGGAAGAGGGAAGGGAAGUAGGUACAGUGAGAAGAGGGGUACCGCUUCCUGCUAGUCACUGUUCGGAGGACUCCCCAAGAAGAGUGUGCUCUUGACUAACUUCAGCUUGCUCAAGCAUUCACCAGGAGCUGCCCCAGGGAUAGGUGAGCUCGGGUGGAAAGCUGAAGAGACCCUGGAGAAGCUAAUAGCACAAGCAGUGAGCAAACCAUUCUCCAUGGGGCUGGGAAGUGGAUUUUUCUGGAAAACGAAUCUGGCACUAUUUGUAGCACACAGAUCCUCUUAAUCACACAGGUUUGAGGAGCAACCCUUCCUGCGCUCUGAUGGGCCCCUAAUACUGAAGGGAAACAGAAGUGGGAGGCUGGCAGGACGAGCCUCAGCCCCUGUUGCUGCAGCUGGUGACAGAGCUCCACGUGGCAUUAACUGCUUUCCCCCUCAGAUCCUGGUUUCCCCUUGGAGCUCAAUGAGGGGCCCUGAAAUCCUUACUUGAAAGGAGCCUGAGCACCCCCAAAUGUCAUCACCUUCCCUCCUUCCAAUUUAGAAGGCAUGAGUCGGGGGCACAUAGAGAGGUUUCUGGAAAAAGACAUCCAGUUACUUGGAAAGAAGUGGCUAGAUUCAGUGGAAGUCAUGAGAUGGGGGGGAAAAAGAAGUCUCCCCAGUUGACUUUCGUGUCAUGUGAGAAAGUGCAAAGGGAAACUCUUGAAGGGUUUUACAAUCACACAAAACCACGCGAAGAACACUUAACCCACUAAGCUGCGACAGGAUGAUGAGUGAGUUCUCUAAGUGCCCAUGUGAAGACCCAAACAUGACGCGACUUUCAGGGCAAUGGGUCCAUUAAGGAAAGGACAGAAUUGGCAAAGUGCUAGGCACUGUGGGGAACACCAAACCACAGAUUUACAACUGGAUGAGGAAGAAGAGAACAGCAUGCGUGAAACAGUUCAAAAAUGAUAGUAGGAAUGGGGACAAUGCUAGACCGCUGGGCAGCGCUUGACCCUCUCUCUCUCUCUUCUGAAAAUCAUUAAUUUGGAGGAACAAAUCUUUUUGCUUUUUGGAGAACCUGGAACUUAGGAAGUCCAGGAAGUAUUGGUGUGCUAUAGGGGAAUAGCUACUAAAUUCUAAAGACAGAAUGAUACUGGAGUUUUUAGUUUUGAUAUCUAUAAGCAGUAAAAUGUAGCAUGUUGAAGUUCCUGACCCUUACCCCGUGGAUUCCAUGUAUAAUUCCAGUGACAACUGUGUAUUUUUGGUUAAAACAUCAACAACAGUGACAACUUCCUUGUUUGAUUGUCUGUCUUUCCCAUCCAGGUCACAUGAUGUGUUGCUGCUACAUUAAUGUUUGUGGCUGAAACACCCUACAGUGACUGCCUCAUGACUCACGCUCUGUAUAAUCCUCUCUCUUUGGGUGCAGAUGAGACCUGUGGCUUGCUUCUAAACAAACAGAAUAUGGCAAAGUCCUUACAGAGUGUAAAGGGGAUUAUGGACUUAACGGCUUAAAUGUAUUCAUCGUCACAACAGAGAGUAAGUGUAUUUAACCCAGCUGGCCAAGGAAUUAAUUUCUUCUGUUUAACAUCAUUUUUCUGCUCUUCCUUCUUCUCUGAUGUGAUUGCCAGGCUGUUAGUCAAAAGUAGAAAAAAAUCAUAGAAGUCCCGUUUGCAGUAUAAGACAAUUUCAGAAUUAUUGAUUUCCAAGUGUUCUAUUGACUCUCUAGGUCAGCAUUAUGAUUUAGUUUUUCUCAUUAUGGUAGAAACAGACCUGGUCUCUACAAAUCAACAGAAGCAGCAUCUCAGAAACCACACCUGAGACCCAAAGGACGCUAAAUGGCUUAGUGAAGGAAACCGGGGUAUGCCAUUUAGGACGCUGAUGGAUCUGUAACAUGUCUGUGGGAAGAGAGUGUCCAAGAUGGGAGGAGGAGAGCGAGAAGUUUGCCACAGCAGCUGUAAACAAAAAGAACAAAGAGUCUCCCUCAUUACUCAGUUCCAAAAAGCAUUAAGUUGCAACUCACUGCAGCUGCCCACAGUGUGCACUGAGGGGAAUUCAGGAUGAAGAAUAGGAUGAAGUAUUCUUGUUUUGAAUAUAUGGCCCCAAAGCAGUUAAAUGCAUAUUUAAGAAAGAAAUUCAGUGAUGCCAGAUUCUUGCAUAGAAAAGCACUAAAAUGAUUUUUGAGAUUCUCUGUUUGUGUUUGUCAUUAGCAGUAAUCUUUUUACCAAGAUAUAUGUUUAACUGCAAGUAUUUCCGAGGCAAAAAAUUCAUAUAGGCUCCUUCCCUGCAUCCCUACUUCUUUGCAGCAGUCCCCUCAGAGUUACUUACAUGCUGUUUCCUGGACUAUAGUUCCCAGUAAGGUCCAUGAAUAAAACUCAACUCACAGCUUCUACAUUGUUUUCCUUCCGGUCAACAGUUUUGGUGACCACGGAGUGUCCCACAGCUGACUGCUCUCCUUUGCCUAAACUCGGCAAGGAUCCAAACACUUGCUACCAGCCAGGCCCCUUGUCCCUGUCCAUCUCCUAAAUGAGCCUAGAUGAUACGGUAAGUUUCUUCCUAGUCUGGAGAAGUCUACGGUAAGUCUACGGUAAGUCUUCCUAGUCUGGAAAUUUCUGUCUUGGAUGAUUGAUCCUGAUUUUUAUUAUGUGGUGUAUAGACUCCACACUAGUAGAGUUUCCCUGAACUUAAGGUAAUUCAGGAAGGAAGUACCUUGAAUUCUAAGUUGAAAGAUGCUGGGAAGACUUUGCUCAGUUGAAAGACACUGGAGAGGUUUGGACUGGGUGAUUAGGUAGGAGACGGUCCUGUUCUUUUCCCUGAAUGGGUUGCUUUCAUAGAGUUUGUUGGAAUAAAAGUGAACAUACCAUAGGUGAGCUUUCAGUUCUGAAGAUAGGGGCAGAAUUCCUCCUGGCCGGUUUACAGCUCUCUCAGGCAACCAGAAGCUUGCAGGAGUGGUGGAGGCGAGUCUGCCCAUAGUACAGCAGCCCCUUGUGACACUCAUUUAUUAAAGAAACUUGCUGGUCUGGGACUUCCCUAGUGGUUCAGUGGUUAAGGACCUGCCUGCCAUUGCAGGGGACAUGGGUUCAAUCCCUGAUCCAGGAAGAUUCCACAUGCUAAGCCCGAGUACCACAACCCUGGGGCCUGGAGUCCAUGCUCUGAGACAAGUAGCCCCCGCUUGCCGCAACUAGAAAAAAGCCGGUGUAGCACAGCCAAGAAAAAAUUUUAAAAAUUUAAAAAAUAAUAUUUUUAAAGGGGAGGGAGAAGAGACCUUUUUAAAUUCAAACUUGCUAGAAAGGCUCCCUCACCUACACUUUGAUUCACAGCCUCCUUCACAUUCUGUCAAAGAUGAAUUGUUCAGUCACUGUCUUGUCUGACUCUUGUGAAUACAAAUCUCAAAAGUCUUUUCUGCAAAUAGUAAAAAUCCUUAGCCAUUUGAGUGGAUAAACUUAACUUAUUCCACUUUUUUUUUUAUAAACUAGUAAGUUUUAUAUUGUAAUACGUGUUUCUUGACUGAGUUUUAAAAUGAAGCUGUGAGAUCUCUGGUUGUAUCUGUCUGUAUGUGUGUGCAUUAUAGAUAUGUGUCUCUACCUCCAGAUGGUAUUAUCAAAAUCAAUUUGUUAAAGAGCUCUAUUUAAUUCACUUAAAAGUAAGUCUUCAUAAAUUAAAUAUUUAUAAAUUUUACAGUAACUAGCCCAAAUGAAUUUCAAGUUUACAUGAUCUGGGAGAUAUUCAAUAUUAAAUUAAUAUACAGUAUUAAAGUUUAAGUUUAUUGGUUUAAUUAAUACAGACAUGUCUUACUUUUAUUGAACCUAGGUUUACUAAAAAGUUAUCAAAUAUUAUCUCUUAUGAAAUUUAUUAGCAAGAAGAAUAGCUUGGGAUGAUGGCUAACUUGGUCUAAUGUUUCAUGAAGGAUUUCAUGCAUAAUCUAAACAUAAUUGUUGGGAACGAGUAAAUAAAUGAGGUAAGAGCUUUUAGGGGAACUCUUCCUGUUUUAUGGUGGUGUGCACAGGGAAUGUUGCCUGCCGUUCUAGUAAGUAAUGUUGCCUGCCAUUGCAGUUAACAAGGGUCAAAUCAGCCCCUGUAACCCCUCAUAUCCCCCUGCCCAAAUGGUGCACCUUGAGGGGAACUCAGGAUAGAGGAAAACAGGAAGCAUUAUUUGCUUUGGAUACUGGCCCUCAGUAGUUAAGAUGCGUAUCUGGGGGAUAAUUUCAGUGAGUCCAGUUUCCCGCAACUUCCUAUAGAUAGACAAGACUAGAACCAUGAACUCCAGGUGCCUGUCUGUGUGAUUAGCAGUCAUUUUGGGAUGUUUGACUACCAUUCUUUUUCCCCGCCAAGCAAACUCUCUUAUAUAUCCUGGCUCCUCCCUUAACUUCUUUGGAGCAGUUUCUCAGCUAUUGGAGAGGUUUUCCCCUGGGUUAUAGUCUUCAAUAAGGUCCCCAAAUAAAAUUUAACUGGAAACUUUUAGAUUGCUUUUUUUUUAGUCAACUGUAUGUCUGCUUAAAAAUGGUAACUGAGCAACUUGAAACUUUAUAGUUUUGCUAAGUUAAGUUAAAUGAUAGAAAUUUAUUGAAUAUAUAGAUGAUUGUCAAGUAAAAAAGAUACUGAAAUAUUAAUUACUGAACAUAGGCUUCCUUUUACAGAGAAACUAAAGAUAUUCAGGACUAUUAUGGGGAUGCAUUCAUAAAUUUUCUAUAAAACAUUUUUAGAAAUCACAAAUAGUAUUUGUAAGUUUGCUGAUUUAUAGAGUGCUAAUUGACUUUUCAUGCAUUAGCAAGGAAAUGGCAACCCAUUGGAGAAGGAAAUGGCAACCCACUCCAGUAUUCUUGCCUGGAGAAUCCCAGGGAUGGGGGAGCCUGGUGGGCUGCCGUCUAUGGGGUCGCACAGAGUCGGACAUGACUGAAGCGACUUAGCAGCAGCAGCAGCAGCAGCAGCAGCAAUGUGAAAAGAAUUCAUAACUGCUUACUUCUUAAUUUUCACUACAAAGGAAGAUUUUUAAAGCUUAAGAACUCUAUUAUGUGUAAUCAAUUUAAUUAAAUAAGGAAAACAUCUUCAGAGGAAAGGAAAAAUAUAAAGAAUGGAAAUGCAUUUCAUUAAAGGAAAAGAAAGUGAUUUUUGUCUUAAAUCUGAUUAUUUCUAAAUGGGGAGGAAAGGGACAGACAAAUAAGGAUAUAAAAGAUUUGUGAGAAAAAAAGGAAUAUAAAGGAAUUCUAUGUGGGGUCAGGAUUAUCCAAGAGUAGAAUAAAUUUAAUUAUGAAAAUAAAUUUUAAUAUUAAAGAUAAGGUGGUGCAAAACUAGAAAUUUAUUUUCUUUCUUUGCUAAGAGAAAAUUUUUUUGACAUAUUGAUCUGCUUUUUGAUAACAGAAAAAAUUUUCUUUCCUUUUAAGUGGUCUGUUAACUUUCUGUAAGGGCUUCCCUGGUGGCUCAGUGAUAAAGAAUCCGCCUGCCAAUGCAGGAGACAUGGGUUCGAUCCCUGGGUUGGGACAAUACCCUGGAAAAGGAAAUGGCAACCCACUCUAGUAUUCUUGCCUGGGGAGUCCCAUGGACAGAGGAGCCUGGUGGGCUACAGUUCACUGGGUCGCAAGAGUCAGGCACAACUGAGCGUGGGCACACAGACACAUAACUUUCUGUGUUUUGCCUUUAAAAUCUUCUAUUGUCAUUCUGGUUAACUGAGUAAGUAUUGUUUCACAGUGAUCUAUGAUUCCACCCGACCAAGUGUUUUAAAACCUUUUUGAUAUCUUUGACAAGCUUCCCCAAUCAAGUUCUAAAUGUAAUUUUUAAAAAAUAUACACUUUCAUCCAUCUAUUUACUGGGCUGUGCCAGGUCCCAGCUGCACGAGAAAUGGAAUAUUUCCUGCCACAUCUGUAAACAAGGAUGUCACCGUCAUCAGCGACUGCAGCCCUCCACUGUGAGCUGGUGAGCCCUCAGAGAACUCAGCAAGGAGAAGAACACCUGUGAUCUAGCAGCCAUCAACUACAGCCACUCCCUAUGGUGAGCCUUGAGGAAAGGAAGCCCAGAAUGGGAAAAACGCAGGAUCCUGGCCCCAGAGACCCGAGGUGCAAUCAAAGAAAUGAUUUCAGUUGCGUGUACAUUUUCAGUCGGCACUCAGGAUCUUCAGUUGCGGCAUGAGAACUCCUAGUUGCGGCAUAUGGAAUCCAGUUCCCCGACCAGGGAUUGAACUCGGGCCUCCAGCCACUGGACCACUAGGGAAGUGCCCUAAAUGAAUUUCUUUUGAUCUCUAGCAAACUUUGGGAUGCUUCAGAGGGCUUCUGAAACAUCUCAAAGAGAGAUACUAAACUAAUGAGGCUUAUGUAGUGUGUUAAACUACAUGGGAAACAUUGUCACUGAUGAUAAAGCUUCUUAGGUUUUAUCAUGUGGGUAUAUGUUACUAAUACAAAAUUACUAAAAUUUGGAUAUAUCCUAGUAUAUUAUCAAUCAUGAAUCUAAUUCUUGUCUUAAUAUACUAUGUGUCACAGACAUAAUCAAAUUCCCUUGUCAGUUGUAAUUAGAUCUUUAACCAUCCCGUUUUCAGUCUUUUGUCGGUUAUAUAGACAGUUAUUAGUUUGCUCUGAUGCUUUUACAAAACUGAGGAUCUUCAGAAAGAUUCAUAGAAAGGACUUUUUGACAAUAUAGGCUUCUGGUAACUUUCUCUUUUUUUUGGCUGUGCUGAGUCCUCAUUGCUGCGCGGGCUUUCCUCUGGCUGCGGCGCGUGGGGGCUGCUCUUCAUGGGGGCACGGGCUUCGCACUGCGGCGGCUUCUCUUGGGAAGAACAGGCUGUCGCGCAUGUGGGCUUCAGUAGUCGCAGCUCCCAGGCACCAGAGCACAGACUCAGUAUUGUGGCGCACAGGCUUCAUUGCUCCGUGGCGUGGACCAGAUCUGGGAUCACACCCAUGUUUCCUGCGUUGGCAGAUGGAUUCUUCACCACUGAGCCAGCCACCAGGGAAGCCUGGUUUCUGGUAACUUUGAGAUCAUACUACUGAACUGAGUAAGAAAUACCAAAACUCAAAUGGAAAACCCCAUGGCUUUGUAAAACUACUAACAAAACAAUCUAAAUCAACAAGAAUUAAUUGCAUGGGGCUGGAUGACCUG
ensembl:lncRNA